rnacentral:piRNA from 1 species
UGAUGUCUCCAUGUUUCUGAGCA